AUUGAACGCUGGCGGUAUGCUUUACACAUGCAAGUCGAGCGGCAGCGCGGCCUUCGGGCUGGCGGCGAGCGGCGAACGGGUGAGUAAUGCAUCGGAACAUGCCCAGUCGUGGGGGAUAACACUUCGAAAGAAGUGCUAAUACCGCAUACGUCCUGAGGGGGAAAGCGGGGGAUCGCAAGACCUCGCGCGAUUGGAGUGGCCGAUGUCAGAUUAGCUAGUUGGUGGGGUAAAGGCCUACCAAGGCGACGAUCUGUAGCUGGUCUGAGAGGAUGAUCAGCCACACUGGGACUGAGACACGGCCCAGACUCCUACGGGAGGCAGCAGUGGGGAAUUUUGGACAAUGGGGGCAACCCUGAUCCAGCCAUUCCGCGUGAGUGAAGAAGGCCUUCGGGUUGUAAAGCUCUUUCGGCAGGAACGAAACGGUGGGCUCUAACAUAGUCCGCUAAUGACGGUACCUGAAGAAGAAGCACCGGCUAACUACGUG
rnacentral:rRNA from 1 species